AGUGAACGCUGGCGGUAGGCCUAACACAUGCAAGUCGAACGGCAGCACAGUAAGAGCUUGCUCUUACGGGUGGCGAGUGGCGGACGGGUGAGGAAUACAUCGGAAUCUACUUUUUCGUGGGGGAUAACGUAGGGAAACUUACGCUAAUACCGCAUAAGACCUACGGGUGAAAGCAGGGGAUCUUCUGACCUUGCGCGAUUGGAUGAGCCGAUUGCGGAUUUGCUAGUUGGCGGGGUAAAGGCCCACCAAGGCGACGAUCCGUAGCUGGUCUGAGAGGAUGAUCAGCCACACUGGAACUGAGACACGGUCCAGACUACUACGGGAGGCAGCAGUGGCGAAUAUUGGCCAAUGGGCGCGAGCCUGAUCCAGCCAUCCCGCGUCGGAGAAGAAGGCCUUCGGGUUGUAAAGCCCUUUUGUUGGGAAAGAAAAGCAGCAGGUUAAUACCACGCUGUUCUGACGGUACCCAAAGAAGAAGCACCGGCUAACUUCGUG
rnacentral:rRNA from 1 species